CCUGGCCCAACCCGGCGCGGAGCGUGAUCCGCGGCCUCGUUUUCACAGCGGGCAGUCGAGGGGACAGCGCAGUGAAAGGCACUUUAGCAGUGGGGCUGUUCUCGCCACUGGACCCCAAACCCCUCAGCCCGGGCGGGCCCGAACACACAAUCAGAGUCGCUGGCGUCCCGGCUGAGAGGACGGGGGCCCGACAGAAAGACCCCGGGACCCCUUAGCCCGAGCGUGUCGCCGAGCCGGUGUCCGGAUUCUCCCUCCGGAACCAGCCUGCGCACAGGCGACGGGGUCGGGGGCUCCGGGACCCAGACGGACCGAGGGCAGGAAGUGACGCCAGCUGUCCCGCUUGGGGUGUAGGGGGUGGCGCUCUGUGCUCGGCGGCGCUGCCAUGGCACACAUUACCAUCAACCAGUACCUGCAGCAGGUGUACGAAGCCAUCGACACCAGAGAUGGAGCAUCUUGUGCAGAGUUGGUGUCUUUUAAACAUCCUCAUGUUGCAAACCCACGACUUCAAAUGGCCUCUCCAGAGGAGAAGUGUCAGCAAGUCUUGGAACCCCCUUAUGAUGAAAUGUUUGCAGCUCAUUUAAGGUGCACUUACGCAGUGGGGAAUCAUGACUUCAUAGAGGCAUACAAGUGCCAGACCGUGAUCGUCCAAUCAUUCUUGCGAGCAUUCCAGGCCCACAAAGAAGAAAACUGGGCUCUGCCUGUCAUGUAUGCAGUAGCGCUUGACCUUCGAGUGUUUGCUAAUAAUGCAGAUCAGCAGUUGGUAAAGAAAGGAAAAAGCAAAGUUGGGGACAUGUUGGAAAAAGCAGCAGAGUUACUGAUGAGCUGUUUCCGGGUCUGUGCCAGCGACACCCGUGCUGGAAUAGAGGACUCUAAGAAGUGGGGCAUGCUGUUUCUGGUGAACCAGUUGUUCAAAAUCUACUUCAAGAUCAACAAACUCCAUUUAUGCAAACCCCUAAUUAGAGCAAUUGACAGCUCAAACCUGAAAGACGAUUACAGCACUGCACAGAGAGUAACAUACAAAUACUACGUUGGACGCAAGGCCAUGUUUGACAGUGACUUUAAGCAAGCCGAGGAGUACCUGUCAUUUGCCUUUGAGCAUUGUCACCGUUCUAGUCAAAAGAACAAAAGGAUGAUUCUGAUCUAUUUGCUUCCAGUAAAAAUGCUAUUGGGUCACAUGCCCACUGUGGAGCUCCUGAAAAAGUAUCACCUGAUGCAGUUUGCGGAAGUAACCAGAGCUGUGAGCGAGGGCAACCUGCUGCUGCUGCACGAGGCGCUGGCGAAGCACGAGGCCUUCUUCAUUCGCUGUGGGAUCUUCCUCAUCCUGGAGAAGCUGAAGAUCAUCACCUACAGGAACCUCUUUAAGAAAGUGUAUUUGUUACUGAAAACACACCAGCUGUCUCUGGAUGCCUUUCUGGUCGCCUUGAAAUUCAUGCAGGUGGAGGACGUGGACAUUGACGAAGUUCAGUGUAUUCUGGCUAACUUGAUAUACAUGGUGUGGCCACAUCAAAGGCUACAUAUCGCAUCAGCAUCAGAAGCUGGUGGUCAGCAAGCAGAACCCAUUUCCUCCGCUGUCCACGGUGUGCUGAGUGUGUCCGAAGCCCUGAGGACGGGAUAGCACCUCGCUGCAGCAUCCUCGCGUGGGAGAAGAGAUGGAAGGGGCUGGCAGAGCCCUCAUGGCCUGAUCACCUCCCGAGGGCCCCACCUCCCCAUGCCGUCAUCUUGGGGAAAUGACAAGGUGAAAGUCGUAACAAUAAAUUGAAGCACGCGGAGAGCACUCUGUUACCUGCCACGGGAGGUCCUGUAGAUCCGGUGCACGCUUCUCGGAGGUCAGCACCCCACAGGCACACUGGUCUGCAUUUGCGGCAGCGACAUGAGAAUAAAAAUCAGCACCUUCCCAGUGAAUAUCGGACUCUGUCUGUGGUGUUAACCAUUGCAUAAUUCCGGCUGUGGUACUAACCAUUAUAAUCGUAUCCUUAAUGCUGAUGAAUGUGCAAUAAUUCACACAGACACUCAGACUGGAGUUAAGCCACCCCCUCACGGCGCUCAUGGUUUAGCUCAGCGUGGUCCGAGCAAGCACGAGUGACAGAAACUGCACUUUCUAGCAUUGCCAUUGCUCCAGCAUGGAGACGCGGACCACCUUCUGAGUCGUGGCAACUCCUUAUCACAAAUCUGUGGGCUUCACCCAAUACUACAGAAGAAGGAAGGAGGAUGUGGACAGGGUCACUGGCACUGGAAGCUGGAGGCUGCUGUGGUCUGAGCACUCACCGUGGGGAACGCACUGUUUGCGGUCCUCACCAAGCCUGUAGCCUUGAGCACAGCUGCACGUGUAGGAUUCCUGUCCUGGAAGGCAGAAGUGUUGACACCCAUCAGUCCGCUCCGGGUGACAUUCAUUUUUAGCUGAAAAGGAAAAAAAAAAAAAAGACCAGAAAUGCUGGCUUGGCAUUUGAUUACAGCCUUGCACACAGAGUUCUGGUGUUUUGGUCCAUGUGUCCUCAUUCUCUUCAGACCGUUGCCCUUUGUGUCAGUGUUUGCCAGACUUCCGUAUUUCAGGAAUGUGCAUGUAAAACAAAGACUCCAUGAGUGAGGCUGGGCGCGGUGGCUCACAUCUGUAAUCCCAGCACUUUGGGAGGCCAAGGUGGGUGGAUCGCGGGGUCAGAAGAUGGAGACCAUCCUGGCUAACACGGUGAAAUCCUGUCUCUACUAAAAAUACAAAAAGGAGCCGGUCGUGGUGCCGGCCUCUGUCGUCCCAGCUACUCAGGGGGCUGAGGCAGGAGAAUGGCGUGAACCCGGGAGGCGGAGCUUGCAGUGAGCUGAGAUCACACUGCUGCACUCCAGCCUGGGUGACAGAGCAAGACUCCGUCUCAAAAAAACAA